rnacentral:pre_miRNA from 1 species
UUUCUACUUCCUCCGUCCAAAAAUACUUGUCAUCAAAAUGGAUAAAAAGAGAUGUAUCUAAAACUAAAAUACGUCUAUAUACAUUUCCUUUUAUCCAUUUUGAUGACAAGUAUUUCCGAACGGAGGGAGUAUUUG